rnacentral:rRNA from 1 species
GACGAGGGGUCCUAGCGUUGUUCGGAAUCACUGGGCGUAAAGGGUGCGUAGGCGGGUCUUUAAGUCAGGGGUGAAAUCCUGGAGCUCAACUCCAGAACUGCCUUUGAUACUGAGGAUCUUGAGUACGGGAGAGGUGAGUGGAACUGCGAGUGUAGAGGUGAAAUUCGUAGAUAUUCGCAAGAACACCAGUGGCGAAGGCGGCUCACUGGCCCGAUACUGACGCUGAGGCACGAAAGCGUGGGGAGCAAACAGG